rnacentral:rRNA from 1 species
CCUACGGGUGGCAGCAGUGGGGAAUAUUGGACAAUGGGGGGAACCCUGAUCCAGCGACGCCGCGUGAGUGAAGAAGUAUUUCGGUAUGUAAAGCUCUAUCAGCAGGGAAGAAAGAAAUGACGGUACCUGACUAAGAAGCCCCGGCUAACUACGUGCCAGCAGCCGCGGUAAUACGUAGGGGGCAAGCGUUAUCCGGAUUUACUGGGUGUAAAGGGGGCGUAGACGGCGAUGCAAGUCUGAAGUGAAAGGCGGGGGCCCAACCCCCGGACUGCUUUGGAAACGGUAUGGCUGGAGUGCAGGAGAGGUAAGUGGAAUUCUUGGUGUAGCGGUGAAAUGCGUAGAUAUCAGGAGGAACACCGGUGGCGAAGGCGGCUUACUGGACAGUGACUGACGUUGAGGCUCGAAAGCGUGGGGAGCGAACAGGAUUAGAUACCCUUGUAGUC